rnacentral:rRNA from 1 species
AUUGAACGCUGGCGGCAGGCCUAACACAUGCAAGUCGAACGAGUGGCGGACGGGUGAGUAAUGUCUGGGAAACUGCCUGAUGGAGGGGGAUAACUACUGGAAACGGUAGCUAAUACUGCAUACCAUCAGAUGUGCUCAGAUGGGAUUAGCUUGUUGGUGGGGUAACGGCUCACCAAGGCGACGAUCCCUAGCUGGUCUGAGAGGAUGACCAGCCACACUGGAACGGAGACACGGCACAGACUCCUACGGGAGGCAGCAGUGGGGAAUAUUGCAAAAUGGGCGAAAGCCUGAUGCAGCCAUGCCGCGUGUAUGAAGAAGGCUUUCGGGUUGUAAAAUACUUUCAGCGGGGAGGCGGUACCCGCAGAAGAAGCACCGGCUAACUCCGUGCCAGCAGCCGCGGUAAUAC